rnacentral:rRNA from 1 species
GAUGAACGCUGGCGGCGUGCCUAAUACAUGCAAGUCGAGCGAACAGAUGAGGAGCUUGCUCCUCUGACGUUAGCGGCGGACGGGUGAGUAACACGUGGAUAACCUACCUAUAAGACUGGGAUAACUUCGGGAAACCGGAGCUAAUACCGGAUAAUAUAUUGAACCGCAUGGUUCAAUAGUGAAAGACGGUUUUGCUGUCACUUAUAGAUGGAUCCGCGCCGCAUUAGCUAGUUGGUAAGGUAACGGCUUACCAAGGCAACGAUGCGUAGCCGACCUGAGAGGGUGAUCGGCCACACUGGAACUGAGACACGGUCCAGACGCCUACGGGAGGCAGCAGUAGGGAAUCUUCCGCAAUGGGCGAAAGCCUGACGGAGCAGCGCCGCGUGAGUGAUGAAGGUCUUCGGAUCGUAAAACUCUGUUAUUAGGGAAGAACAAAUGUGUAAGUAACUAUGCACGUCUUGACGGUACCUAAUCAGAAAGCCACGGCUAACUACGUG